GAUGAACGCUGGCGGCGUGCCUAAUACAUGCAAGUCGAGCGAACAGACGAGGAGCUUGCUCCUUUGACGUUAGCGGCGGACGGGUGAGUAACACGUAGGUAACCUACCUAUAAGACUGGGAUAAAUUCGGGAAACCGGAGCUAAUACCGGAUAAUAUUUCGAACCGCAUGGUUCGAUAGUGAAAGAUGGCUUUGCUAUCACUUAUAGAUGGACCUGCGCCGUAUUAGCUAGUUGGUAAGGUAACGGCUUACCAAGGCAACGAUACGUAGCCGACCUGAGAGGGUGAUCGGCCACACUGGAACUGAGACACGGUCCAGACUCCUACGGGAGGCAGCAGUAGGGAACCUUCCGCAAUGGGCGAAAGCCUGACGGAGCAACGCCGCGUGAGUGAUGAAGGUCUUCGGAUCGUAAAACUCUGUUAUUAGGGAAGAACAAACGUGUAAGUAACUGUGCACGUCUUGACGGUACCUAAUCAGAAAGCCACGGCUAACUACGUG
rnacentral:rRNA from 1 species